rnacentral:rRNA from 1 species
AGAUUGAACGCUGGCGGCAGGCCUAACACAUGCAAGUCGAGCGGAAACAGAAAGUAACUUGUUACUUUGCUGUCGAGCGGCGGACGGGUGAGUAAUGCUUGGGAAACUGCCCAGUCGAGGGGGACAACCAUUGGAAACGAUGGCUAAUACCGCAUACGCCCUACGGGGGAAAGAAGGGGACUCUUCGGAGCCUUUCGCGAUUGGAUGUGCCCAAGUGGGAUUAGCUAGUUGGUGAGGUAAAGGCUCACCAAGGCGACGAUCCCUAGCUGGUUUGAGAGGAUGAUCAGCCACACUGGAACUGAGACACGGUCCAGACUCCUACGGGAGGCAGCAGUGGGGAAUAUUGCACAAUGGGCGCAAGCCUGAUGCAGCCAUGCCGCGUGUAUGAAGAAGGCCUUCGGGUUGUAAAGUACUUUCAGCGAGGAGGAAAGGUUAGUCGUUAAUAACGGCUAGCUGUGACGUUACUCGCAGAAGAAGGACCGGCUAACUCCGUGCCAGCAGCCGCGGUAAUACGGAGGGUCCGAGCGUUAAUCGGAAUUACUGGGCGUAAAGCGUACGCAGGCGGUUUGUUAAGCGAGAUGUGAAAGCCCCGGGCUCAACCUGGGAACUGCAUUUCGAACUGACAAACUAGAGUUUUGUAGAGGGUGGUAGAAUUUCAGGUGUAGCGGUGAAAUGCGUAGAGAUCUGAAGGAAUACCAGUGGCGAAGGCGGCCACCUGGACAAUAACUGACGCUCAUGUACGAAAGCGUGGGGAGCAAACGGGAUUAGAUACCCCGGUAGUCCACGCCGUAAACGAUGUCAACUAGCCGACUGAAUCCUUGAGAUUUGGGUGGCGCAGCUAACGCAUUAAGUUGACCGCCUGGGGAGUACGGCCGCAAGGUUA